GACGAACGCUGGCGGCGUGCUUAACACAUGCAAGUCGAACGGAGUUACUAUAAAGGAGUUUUCGGACAACGGAGUAGUAGCUUAGUGGCGGACUGGUGAGUAACGCGUGAGGAACCUGCCUUUCAGAGGGGGACAACAGUUGGAAACGACUGCUAAUACCGCAUGAUGCAUGACUGGGACAUCCCGGACAUGCCAAAGAUUUAUCGCUGAAAGAUGGCCUCGCGUCCGAUUAGCUAGUAGGUGAGGUAAUGGCCCACCUAGGCGACGAUCGGUAGCCGGACUGAGAGGUUGACCGGCCACAUUGGGACUGAGAUACGGCCCAGACUCCUACGGGAGGCAGCAGUGGGGAAUAUUGGGCAAUGGGCGAAAGCCUGACCCAGCAACGCCGCGUGAAGGAAGAAGGCUUUCGGGUUGUAAACUUCUUUGACAGGGGAAGAGUAGAAGACGGUACCCUGAAAACAAGCCACGGCUAACUACGUG
rnacentral:rRNA from 1 species